CUUGCUCUGCGUGGCAUCUGUCA
rnacentral:miRNA from 1 species